AGCGGAGGAAAAGAAACUAACAAGGAUUCCCCUAGUAGCGGCGAGCGAAGCGGGAAGAGCUCAAAUUUAUAAUCUGGCACCUUCGGUGUCCGAGUUGUAAUCUCUAGAAGUGUUUUCCGCGUUGGACCGCACACAAGUCUGUUGGAAUACAGCGGCAUAGUGGUGAAACCCCCGUAUAUGGUGCGGACGCCCAGCGCUUUGUGAUACACUUUCAAUGAGUCGAGUUGUUUGGGAAUGCAGCUCAAAUUGGGUGGUAAAUUCCAUCUAAAGCUAAAUAUUGGCGAGAGACCGAUAGCGAACAAGUACCGUGAGGGAAAGAUGAAAAGCACUUUGGAAAGAGAGUUAACAGUACGUGAAAUUGUUGGAAGGGAAACGCUUGAAGUCAGACUUGCUUGCCGGAGCUUGCUUCGGUUUGCAGGCCAGCAUCAGUUUUCCGGGGUGGAUAAUAACGGUUUGAAGGUAGCAGUCUCGGCUGUGUUAUAGCUUUCCGUUGGAUACAUCCUGGGGGACUGAGGAACGCAGCGUGCUUUUUGCGAAAGACUCGUCUUUUUCACGCUUAGGAUGCUG
rnacentral:rRNA from 1 species